rnacentral:rRNA from 1 species
AUUGAACGCUGGCGGCAUGCCUUACACAUGCAAGUCGAACGGUAACGCGGGGCAACCUGGCGACGAGUGGCGAACGGGUGAGUAACGCAUCGGAACGUGCCCAGUAGUGGGGGAUAGCCCGGCGAAAGCCGGAUUAAUACCGCAUACGACCUACGGGUGAAAGCGGGGGAUCGCAAGACCUCGCGCUAUUGGAGCGGCCGAUGUCAGAUUAGGUAGUUGGUGGGGUAAAGGCCUACCAAGCCUGCGAUCUGUAGCUGGUCUGAGAGGACGACCAGCCACACGGGGACUGAGACACGGCCCAGACUCCUACGGGAGGCAGCAGUGGGGAAUGUUGGACAAUGGGCGCAAGCCUGAUCCAGCCAUGCCGCGUGCGGGAAGAAGGCCUUCGGGUUGUAGACCGCUUUUGUCAGGGAAGAAACGCUCCGGGCUAACACCCUGGGGUAAUGACGGUACCUGAAGAAUAAGCACCGGCUAACUACGUGCCAGCAGCCGCCGUAAUAC